rnacentral:lncRNA from 1 species
AGUUGUUUGGUUACGUAUCACCGGCUGCUGAUUAAUGAUAGUAGACGUUCUAGGUUCCUCAGCGGAAGUAAAAAGACCAGCAGUAGCAGCAAAAGGAUUAGGCAUUGUCGGAACCUGAAACUACAAAUUCAGUAUCCUAAUAAAUCUAUGCAUUAAAAAUACAAAAGCUUUUAAAAGUCUUUUAUACGAUUUUUAAUAGAAUUUUAAAAGGGUUUUAUAAGGACUUUAUAAGAACCAUGUUGUUUACAAAGAACUUGUCUUGUUUAUAAUGUUUUAAAGGGGUUUUAAAUGAUUUUUAUAAGGUUUUCAAAAGUUUUAAACAAUAUUUUUAUAAGAGGUUUACCUGAGAAAGAGAAGCAGAAGAUACAUCGCUUGCAACAAACUGAUAUGACCUAGUUUGAUUCUGAAAAGUAAACACGUAAUAAGUUAAUAAUGAUUUGAAACAAUAUUUUUUUUUAAAGGGUUUUUCUAAAGUAGUAGAUUACCUGAGUAUGAUUUGGACAAGAAACAUUAGUAGCCCCAAAAGAAGUUGUUUGGUUACAUAUAACCGGCUGCUGAUUAAUGAUAGUAGACGUUCUAGGUACCUCAGUGGAAGUAAAAAGACCAGAAGUAGCAGCAUGAGGAUUAGGCAUUGUCGGAACCUGAAAAUACAAAUUCAGUAUCCUAAUAAUAGAUGAUUUUUUAAACAACUUUUUUUGUUUAUAACGUUUUAAAAGGGUUUUAAAUGAUUUUUAUAAGGUUUUCAAAAGUUUUAAAAAGUAUUUUUAAAAGAGGUUUACCUGAGAAUGAGAAGCAGAUGAUACAUCACUAGCAACAAACUGAUAUGAG